rnacentral:rRNA from 1 species
CUGUAAGCCUGUGAAGGUGUGCUGUGAGGCAUGCUGGAGGUAUCAGAAGUGCGAAUGCUGACAUAAGUAACGAUAAAGCGGGUGAAAAGCCCGCUCGCCGGAAGACCAAGGGUUCCUGUCCAACGUUAAUCGGGGCAGGGUGAGUCGACCCCUAAGGCGAGGCCGAAAGGCGUAGUCGAUGGGAAACAGGUUAAUAUUCCUGUACUUGGUGUUACUGCGAAGGGGGGACGGAGAAGGCUAUGUUGGCCGGGCGACGGUUGUCCCGGUUUAAGCGUGUAGGCUGGUUUUCCAGGCAAAUCCGGAAAACUAAGGCUGAGGCGUGAUGACGAGGCACUACGGUGCUGAAGCAACAAAUGCCCUGCUUCCAGGAAAAGCCUCUAAGCAUCAGGUAACAUCAAAUCGUACCCCAAACCGACACAGGUGGUCAGGUAGAGAAUACCAAGGCGCUUGAGAGAACUCGGGUGAAGGAACUAGGCAAAAUGGUGCCGUAACUUCGGGAGAAGGCACGCUGAUAUGUAGGUGAAGUCCCUCGCGGAUGGAGCUGAAAUCAGUCGAAGAUACCAGCUGGCUGCAACUGUUUAUUAAAAACACAGCACUGUGCAAACACGAAAGUGGACGUAUACGGUGUGACGCCUGCCCGGUGCCGGAAGGUUAAUUGAUGGGGUCAGCGCAAGCGAAGCUCUUGAUCGAAGCCCCGGUAAACGGCGGCCGUAACUAUAACGGUCCUAAGGUAGCGAAAUUCCUUGUCGGGUAAGUUCCGACCUGCACGAAUGGCGUAAUGAUGGCCAGGCUGUCUCCACCCGAGACUCAGUGAAAUUGAACUCGCUGUGAAGAUGCAGUGUACCCGCGGCAAGACGGAAAGACCCCGUGAACCUUUACUAUAGCUUGACACUGAACAUUGAGCCUUGAUGUGUAGGAUAGGUGGGAGGCUUUGAAGUGUGGACGCCAGUCUGCAUGGAGCCGACCUUGAAAUACCACCCUUUAAUGUUUGAUGUUCUAACGUUGACCCGUAAUCCGGGUUGCGGACAGUGUCUGGUGGGUAGUUUGACUGGGGCGGUCUCCUCCUAAAGAGUAACGGAGGAGCACGAAGGUUGGCUAAUCCUGGUCGGACAUCAGGAGGUUAGUGCAAUGGCAUAAGCCAGCUUGACUGCGAGCGUGACGGCGCGAGCAGGUGCGAAAGCAGGUCAUAGUGAUCCGGUGGUUCUGAAUGGAAGGGCCAUCGCUCAACGGAUAAAAGGUACUCCGGGGAUAACAGGCUGAUACCGCCCAAGAGUUCAUAUCGACGGCGGUGUUUGGCACCUCGAUGUCGGCUCAUCACAUCCUGGGGCUGAAGUAGGUCCCAAGGGUAUGGCUGUUCGCCAUUUAAAGUGGUACGCGAGCUGGGUUUAGAACGUCGUGAGACAGUUCGGUCCCUAUCUGCCGUGGGCGCUGGAGAACUGAGGGGGGCUGCUCCUAGUACGAGAGGACCGGAGUGGACGCAUCACUGGUGUUCGGGUUGUCAUGCCAAUGGCACUGCCCGGUAGCUAAAUGCGGAAGAGAUAAGUGCUGAAAGCAUCUAAGCACGAAACUUGCCCCGAGAUGAGUUCUCCCUGACUCCUUGAGAGUCCUGAAGGAACGUUGAAG